rnacentral:lncRNA from 1 species
CUCCUGAGGUGUGUGGGUCCGAUCUCGCGAGGACCUUGUUCUGUUCCGAGGACAGCUGGCCUUGGACUAGGACCCACCAACCCUUGUGGAAACCUACUGAACCUUUGAGCUGCUCCUUAGUUCUAAGCCUACAGAUGCCGGGUGGCCUUCCAGGCUGGUUCGAGCAAAGGCCUCUGCCACCUUGCGGUUCCGCCCCCCAUAGCAGGUCGUGAUGAGGUCUGCGACCCCGCAGCUCUCCAGGAAGGUGGCCGAGGACACAGUGCCACUGCAGAAGAGCUUGGCGAAGGCGAUCAUCUCCAUGAGCCCCAACCGGAUCACCGCCGCCUUGGUGUUGUCACCGAAGCCAAGCCCAUCACAGAAGCCAGCCCCAACGGCCACUAUAUUCUUUGAGGAGUAGAGACACAGAUUCUGCCUGAUGCAGAGCUAGCCUCCCACAGACCUCUCCUUUAUCACACUGGCACAGAGAUGAAGGCUCCGGUGCCAGGCCGCCAGCUGGGAGCGCUGAUUACGAGGGGUGGAAGAGAAAGGAUGUUCCUGUCCCUGGCACAUAUGAUAGGAACCCUAAAGAAUGGGCAUUUAUGCCUGAAACGGAUCCUUGUUUUUGCUUAAAUACUCCCGCCUCUCUUUGCCCCUACAUCCUAUUAGGCUGUGUGGAGAGACAAAGCACGUGGCCAUUCACGAAGGAAUAAAGAGAAUGCUCGUUAACAGGAA